AAGGAAUAUUGGUCAAUGGACGCAAGUCUGAACCAGCCAUGCCGCGUGAAGGAUGAAGGUCCUCUGGAUUGUAAACUUCUUUUAUCUGGGACGAAAACGGGAUUUUUAUCUCAAUUGACGGUACCAGAGGAAUAAGCACCGGCUAACUCCGUGCCAGCAGCCGCGGUAAUACGGAGGGUGCGAGCGUUAUCCGGAUUUACUGGGUUUAAAGGGUGCGUAGGUGGGCUUAUAAGUCAGUGGUGAAAUCUCCGAGCUUAACUUGGAAACUGCCGUUGAUACUAUAGGUCUUGAAUUAUCUGGAGGUAAGCGGAAUAUGUCAUGUAGCGGUGAAAUGCUUAGAUAUGACAUAGAACACCAAUUGCGAAGGCAGCUUACUACAUAUAAAUUGACGCUGUGGCACGAAAGCGUGGGGAUCAAACA
rnacentral:rRNA from 1 species